UUUGGGGUGGCGGGGUCAGUUCGGUCGGGGUAUCAAUAGAGAGGUACCGGAUGCGAAUAUGUAUGCGAGCCGCUGGAGUGGACUGUGUCCAAAGACGGGACCGCUCUGCGCGCGGAGACACAGACAUCCAACAGGACAAACGACGACGACGAGGACGGUGACGAGUACGAUGACGACAACGACGACAAGCGCAGCGUGGAUGAAAGAGCGAACGUAUUCGGCUUUUUCACGCCACUGCACUGGCAAGACUGAGAGGGGUAGACUGCAAAAAUUUUCAAACAUAAUGCAUCGCGGUGCAAUUUAUUGUACGUUUUUUGUGCGAUCCAUAGUUUUCUCUGAGCCGCCGACGUCGUCGUUGCGCUUUGUUGCAGUGGCUCCUGGGACGACCGGCGACCUGGCCGCGGUCGUUCUCUAGGUUCUGGGCCCGCUGGUGCUUCUCUAGGCUUCCCUAGGCGGUGGCAGUUCUGGGUUCAGGUAUCCGGCUCGUAGCCGUCGCACCGUGAUUGCAUCCUCAUGCAGUUGGCAUUAUCGAAUUUCAUCUCGCCUUGGGAUGCAACGGGUGAGCCCGGAGCGAAUUCUGCGCGGCUGAGGCCGGGUGCUGGAACUGAGAGCAAGCGCAACUCAGAGAAUGCAACCAAGUUGGGAAAUACAGCGCAACGACCGCGCCGCCGUGUGCACUGGUUCUGUACGGAGGUUCAAGAUCGGAAGAAAUUUAAUGUACAUUGCAAACCUGGUCGUCGUCGUCGUCGUAGUCGUCGCCGCAGUUUUUUUUCUUGUUGUUCAUGUGCCGUGUUCGGGGCCGUGCGGGUACAGGCCAAUCGUCGACGGAGUUAACGGAGAAGUGCCCCAGAGUGUGAAAAAUUGCGAGUGCAACGUGCAGUGCGUUCUCGGGAAAGAAGAACACCAAAUGGGGCAAUAAAAACGAAAGAAUAAUGGUUGUUACCCUACAAUACGCUAAUGCUCCAGUUGGUUUGUACUGUAGUGACAGUUUUUUUUGUGCGAUUUGUGAACGGUUAAUUUUAACACCAUGUGUCUCUCCGCGGGUUCGGAUUCCUUACGAUGCAUGAUCACGCGAUUUUUUGGAAAAUCAACGGUUUGAAGGAAUCCGUGGAACGCGAAGUUAGCAGAUGAGCUGCUCGAUGCGGGAUUGAUUUUAGAAUGCUCUCAGUGGAAUGUUUAAUGUGCCUCUUCUAGCGAUGUGGAGAAAAUGUGGCUUAGUAAAGAAAACCAAAAUGAAGAAAACCUGAGCAAAUUUGCUACGAGUGAAUCAACUGAAACGACAAUCAAAUAAAAGCAGAUUGAUUACCAUGAAUCAGACGUAUUCUGUAGAACUCUCCUCCGGCUACCAGCAAAUCCCACAUUUUCAACCAGGAUGAUCUAACCCAGACGACCAGACAUUAAAUAUCUACUUGACGACCAUCGGAGAUGGUUGGAUCGUUGAUAGAGGCUAGACGAUGAUAAUCAAAUGAUGCUUCUAUUUUAACCAUUGAGAGCUUCUGCAUUGUGAUUCUCACGAUGCAACGCUCCAACCCAAUGGAUUAUUAGGUUAAAUGUGAACAUUUGGUAAGAUCAAAUCCAUGUCUAUGCACCUUGUUUAUUACAUCUCUGUAGUAUUCUCAUACCCCACUUCCAACAUCCCGUCCUGACCAAGAACUACCAUUCCUGAACCUACAACUUUCCACCACUUCCAACCAGAAGCAC